rnacentral:lncRNA from 1 species
UCACUGGGGUAAAGCUGAUGACCGUAACUGCAUUCACGGUCAUCCCAAGAUGUCGGAUGAAAAAUUAGGUCAGUUUCUGUAUUGUCUGUUAAAGUGUUUCUAUAUCAUUUUCUUUACAAAUCAUACAUUGAAACGAUGUAAAUUUAUAAAAGAAUCACUCGAAAAUCACUAAUUACUUCCGAGAAAUGUGCAUGAAACGGGAAAUUCGAUUUGAAAAAAUCGUUAAGAUGACCGUAAAUCAUAAUCAAAAUAUUUUCAAGAUGACCGUAACAUAAAACAAGGAUGACCGUGAUUGGUAAAAAGAUGACCGUAACUUGUAAAGGAUGACCGUAAUUUGUAAAGACUGACUGUAAUUUAUAUAGGACGACCGUAACUUUUAUAGGAUGACCAUCAAUUCUAAGAAAUAUCCGUAUUGUAUUCAAAGCUUUUUUGUUGAGUUUGUCGAUCUCAAUAGGGGCUCGGUUAGCGGAUAUAAAUAUGUUUCAUAAAUUUCUUUUUUUAAACUAUAAUAUAAUUGGCCAUAUUUAGGAUUUAUAACAAUGAUAGUAAAUUGCAUAUUUCUCGUAAACAAUGAAAUAUUUAUUGAUAUCGACGUUAAAAUUUUAACACAAAUUGACAGCGAUACGACGAAAAUUUGAAGAAACAUGAAUGUGUCCCUAGUACACGGAUGCCUCAUCUACACUAUCAUUUUCUAUGUUUAGUGGACUAUGAAAAUGGGAUAAAACUG